rnacentral:misc_RNA from 1 species
CGGCUGCGAGCUCCCACCGGCACUCCAGGUGCGUUCCGCCGGGGACGAGAAACCAAUGACAUGCCAAGGCGUGGUGUGGACGCAGGCCCGAGCCCUCCGGGUGGCGAAAACCCGGCCGGUUGUCAUUGGACUGGANNNCGAACGGGUUCGCCCAGCGGCGUCUUCAGCCACUGCGCAAUACUCCGGAAUUUUGCGAGUCUUUCGAACAUCGCUCACCUCCACUUCCGCGUUCCGCGGCAGGCUGG